rnacentral:rRNA from 1 species
UGAACGCUAGCGAUAGGCCUAACACAUGCAAGUCGAGGGGCAGCACAUGAGUAGCAAUACGAUGGUGGCGACCGGCGCACGGGUGAGUAACACGUAUGCAACCUACCUUUAACAGGGGAAUAACCCGUUGAAAAACGGACUAAUACUCCAUAACGACAGGGGUCCCGCAUGGGAAUAUUUGUUAAAGAUUAAUCGGUUGAAGAUGGGCAUGCGUUCCAUUAGCUUGUGGUGAGGUAACGGCUCACCAAGGCCACGAUGGAUAGGGGAACUGAGAGGUUUAUCCCCCACACUGGAACUGAGACACGGUCCAGACUCCUACGGGAGGCAGCAGUGAGGAAUAUUGGUCAAUGGAGGCAACUCUGAACCAGCCAAGUCGCGUAGAAGGAUGAAGGUCUUAUGGAUUGUAAACUUCUUUUGCAAGGGAAUAAAGUGGGGGACGUGUCCUCCUUUGCAUGUACCUUGCGAAUAAGGAUCGGCUAACUCCGUGCCAGCCGCCGC